rnacentral:rRNA from 1 species
UAGCUAGUUGGUGAGGUAAAGGCUCACCAAGGCGACGAUCUGUAGCGGGUCUGAGAGGAUGAUCCGCCACACUGGAACUGAGACACGGUCCAGACUCCUACGGGAGGCAGCAGUGGGGAAUUUUGGACAAUGGGGGCAACCCUGAUCCAGCCAUGCCGCGUGAGUGAAGAAGGCCUUCGGGUUGUAAAGCUCUUUCGGCCGGGAAGAAAUCGUAUGGGUUAAUACCCUGUGCGGAUGACGGUACCGGCAUAAGAAGCACCGGCUAACUACGUGCCAGCAUCCGCGGUAAUACGUAGGGUGCGAGCGUUAAUCGGAAUUACUGGGCGUAAAGCGUGCGCAGGCGGUUUUGUAAGACAGGCGUGAAAUCCCCGGGCUCAACCUGGGAACUGCGCUUGUGACUGCAAGGCUAGAGUAUGGCAGAGGGGGGUGGAAUUCCACGUGUAGCAGUGAAAUGCGUAGACAUGUGGAGGAACACCAAUGGCGAAGGCAGCCCCCUGGGCCAAUACUGACGCUCAUGCACGAAAGCGUGGGUAGCAAACAGGAUUAGAUACCCUGGUAGUCCACGCCCUAAACGAUGUCAACUAGGUGCUGGGUGGGUAAAACCAUUUAGUACCGGAGCUAACGCGUGAAGUUGACCGCCUGGGGAGUACGGCCGCAAGGUUAAAACUCAAAGGAAUUGACGGGGACCCGCACAAGCGGUGGAUGAUGUGGAUUAAUUCGAUGCAACGCGAAAAACCUUACCUACCCUUGACAUGUCCAGGAGCCUGAAGAGAUUUGAGUGUGCCCGAAAGGGAACUGGAACACAGGUGCUGCAUGGCUGUCGUCAGCUCGUGUCGUGAGAUGUUGGGUUAAGUCCCGCAACGAGCGCAACCCUUGUCGUUAAUUGCCAUCAUUUAGUUGGGCACUUUAACGAGACUGCCGGUGACAAACCGGAGGAAGGUGGGGAUGACGUCAAGUCCUCAUGGCCCUUAUGGGUAGGGCUUCACACGUCAUACAAUGGUCGGUACAAAGGGUUGCCAACCCGCGAGGGGGAGCCAAUCCCAGAAAUCCGAUCGUAGUCCGGAUCGCAGGCUGCAACUCGCCUGCGUGAAGUCGGAAUCGCUAGUAAUCGUGGAUCAGCAUGUCACGGUGAAUACGUUCCCGGGUCUUGUACACACCGCCCGUCACACCAUGGGAGCGGGUUCCGCCAGAAGUAGGUAGCCUAACCGCAAGGGGGGCGCUUACCACGGCGGGGUUCGUGACUGGGGUGAAGUCGUAACAAGGUAGCCGUAGGGGAACCUGCGGCUG